rnacentral:rRNA from 1 species
UACGUAGGGGGCAAGCGUUGUCCGGAUUUAUUGGGCGUAAAGAGCGUGUAGGCGGCCAGGUAGGUCUGCUGUGAAAACUCGAGGCUUAACCUCGAGCUGUCGGCGGAAACCAUCUGGCUAGAGUCCGGAAGAGGAGAAUGGAAUUCCCGGUGUAGCGGUGAAAUGCGCAGAUAUCGGGAAGAACACCCGUGGCGAAAGGCGGUUCUCUGGGACGGUACUGACGCUGAGACGCGAAAGCGUGGGGAGCGAACAGG